rnacentral:rRNA from 1 species
CGGGAGCGACUUAGCGGCGGACGGGUGAGUAACGCGUGGGUAACCUGCCCCAUACCGGGGGAUAACGGUUAGAAAUGACCGCUAAUACCGCUUAAGCGCACGAGGCCGCAUGGCCGCGCGCGAAAAACUCCGGUGGUAUGGGAUGGGCCCGCGUCUGAUUAGCUAGUUGGCGGGGUAAAGGCCCACCAAGGCGACGAUCAGUAGCCGACCUGAGAGGGUGGCCGGCCACAUUGGGACUGAGACACGGCCCAAACUCCUACGGAAGGCAGCAG